UUAUUAAAAAACUUUAGAGCAGGAAAGAAAGGAAAGUACACUUGGAAGAGAUCCACAUGGGCGACUUGAAGAACAAGUGCAAAAUAGCACUUCUGUC